rnacentral:rRNA from 1 species
AUUGAACGCUAGCGGGAUGCUUUACACAUGCAAGUCGAACGAGUGGCGGACGGGUGAGUAAUAUAUCGGAACGUGCCCCGUAGCGGGGGAUAACUACUCGAAGGAGUGGCUAAUACCGCAGACAAUUGGAGAGGCCGAUAUCGGAUGAGCGAGUUGGUGGGGUAAAGGCUCACAAAGGCAACGCUCCGUAGCUGGUUUGAGAGGACUCCAAGCCACCGUGCGACGGUGCCACGGCCCAGAGUCCUGCGGUAGACAGAAGGUGGGAAUUUUGGACAAUGGGGGAAACCCUGAUCCAGCCAUCGCUCGUGUAUGAGAAGGCCUUCGGUUUGUAAAGUACUGUUGGCAUAGAAGCGGUAUCUUCAGAAUAUGCACCGGCUAACUACGUGCCAGCAGCCGCGGUAAUAC